GAUGAAGAACGCAGCAAAAUGCGAUAAGUAAUGUGAAUUGCAGAAUUCAGUGAAUCAUCGAAUCUUUGAACGCACAUUGCGCCCGCUGGUAUUCCGGCGGGCAUGCCUGUUCGAGCGUCAUUUCAACCCUCAAGCCCCCGGGUUUGGUGUUGGGGAUCGGCUCUGCCCUUCUGGGCGGUGCCGCCCCCGAAAUACAUUGGCGGUCGCGCUGCAGCCUCCAUUGCGUAGUAGCUAACACCUCGCAACUGGAACGCGGCGCGGCCAUGCCGUAAAACCCCAACUUCUGAAUGUUGACCUCGGAUCAGGUAGGAAUACCCGCUGAACUUAAGCAUAUCAAUAAGCGGAGGA
rnacentral:misc_RNA from 1 species